rnacentral:lncRNA from 1 species
UAUGAAGGGCUAUGGAAAGCUGACCCUUGUCCACUAGAGGUCAUGGGGUGCUUUAAAAAGUGGCACCCAAGCAGAUGGUCUUUGAGGAUGUGAACAGAGAAGGUCUGCUGGAGAAGAGGAACUGAAAUUAGCAAGACAAACGGGACCCUGGGACAAGUCUGCUGGCAAGCAGGUUGGAAAUACUGUUUCUGUAUUAUCUGCAAAGAGACAUU